AGCAAACUACUGUCAUAUUUCCAAAUUUAAGUUCCCUAAUAAUGCAUGAACUUAUGAACUAGAUAAGUUUGAGUGGAGAAACACAGAGAAUCUGAUGGAGUAAGAAUUCCCAGAUAAAGAAUUAGAAAUCCAAAUGUUUCACCAAGAAAUUCAAUCAAAGAAGAAACCUGUAGCACUUGAGAGGCAUGUCUUUGAGCUGCUGCAUCUUGUUCAGCGGCUAUACGAGCAUCUUCCGUUACCCUCUGUUCUUGCUCCACCCUCAUCAAAACCUACAAAAAUUAAAUAAAUAAACCCAAAAUCGAAAGAAAGUAUAUACGAGCAUCUUCUGUUACCCUCUGUUCUUGCUCCACCCUCAUCAAAACCUACAAAAAUUAAAUAAAUAAACCCAAAAUUGAAAGAAAGGGGGAUUAGGAGAUAAUGUUCCAAUACAUCAUCAAACAAGCAAUGAAAAUUGUCACCUG
rnacentral:lncRNA from 1 species